rnacentral:rRNA from 1 species
UACGAAGGUGGCAAGCGUUGUUCGGAUUCACUGGGCGUACAGGGAGCGUAGGCGGUUGGGUAAGCCCUCCGUGAAAUCUCCGGGCCCAACCCGGAAAGUGCAGAGGGGACUGCUCGGCUAGAGGACGGGAGAGGAGCGCGGAAUUCCCGGUGUAGCGGUGAAAUGCGUAGAGAUCGGGAGGAAGGCCGGUGGCGAAGGCGGCACUCUGGAACGUUUCUGACGCUGAGGCUCGAAAGCGUGGGGAGCAAACAGG